rnacentral:rRNA from 1 species
UACGUAGGGUGCAAGCGUUGUCCGGAAUUAUUGGGCGUAAAGAGCUCGUAGGCGGUCUGUCGCGUCGGCUGUGAAAACCCGGGGCUCAACCCCGGGCCUGCAGUCGAUACGGGCAGACUAGAGUGCGGUAGGGGAGACUGGAACUCCUGGUGUAGCGGUGAAAUGCGCAGAUAUCAGGAGGAACACCGGUGGCGAAGGCGGGUCUCUGGGCCGUAACUGACGCUGAGGAGCGAAAGCCAGGGGAGCAAACGGG